ACGGGAGGCAGCAGUGAGGAAUAUUGGUCAAUGGGCGGAAGCCUGAACCAGCCAAGUCGCGUGAGGGAAGACGGCCCUACGGGUUGUAAACCUCUUUUGCGCGGGGGUAAAGUCGGGGACGUGUCCCCGAUUGCAAGUACCGCGCGAAUAAGGAUCGGCUAACUCCGUGCCAGCAGCCGCGGUAAUACGGAGGAUCCGAGUGUUAUCCGGAUUUAUUGGGUUUAAAGGGUGCGUAGGCGGGACGUCAAGUCAGUGGUGAAAGGGUGCGGCUCAACCGUAGCACCGCCUUGGAAGCUGGGGUCCUUGAGUGCGAAUGAGGUAGGCGGAACGUGUGAUGUAGCGGUGAAAUGCGUAGAUAUGACACAGAACACCGAUUGCGAAGGCAGCGUACUGGGACGCGACUGACGCUGAGGCACGAAAGUGCGGGGAUCGAACAGGAUUAGAUACCCUGGUA
rnacentral:rRNA from 1 species